GACGAACGCUGGCGGCGUGCUUAACACAUGCAAGUCGAACGAAGAGCGAUGGAAGCUUGCUUCUAUCAAUCUUAGUGGCGAACGGGUGAGUAACGCGUAAUCAACCUGCCCUUCAGAGGGGGACAACAGUUGGAAACGACUGCUAAUACCGCAUACGAUCUAACCUCGGCAUCGAGGAUGGAUGAAAGGUGGCCUCUAUUUAUAAGCUAUCACUGAAGGAGGGGAUUGCGUCUGAUUAGCUAGUUGGAGGGGUAACGGCCCACCAAGGCGAUGAUCAGUAGCCGGUCUGAGAGGAUGAACGGCCACAUUGGGACUGAGACACGGCCCAGACUCCUACGGGAGGCAGCAGUGGGGAAUCUUCCGCAAUGGACGAAAGUCUGACGGAGCAACGCCGCGUGAGUGAUGACGGCCUUCGGGUUGUAAAGCUCUGUUAAUCGGGACGAAAGGCCUUCUUGCGAAUA
rnacentral:rRNA from 1 species